CACACACACACACACACACACACACACACAGACACACACGCACUCACGGCCUCUCCCGCAGCCUCACUCCUGUUCCUCUCAUCCAGCAGUUAUGAAAGAACUUUUUGGAAGCUUGUCAUUGCCAUAAAUAUGGUCUUGGCGAUGACCAAAGUCUGGUAAUUUUAUAUCCUUAGAUCAAAGAAGUAUGUGGGCAAUGACUUGGGUGUUUUUCUUACUUUUUAUUUUCUUGCACUGAAAAUUAUUUUCCAAAGAGCCGCUGAAAGGGCAGCAGGAAACAUGAUCCGAGAUGUCGUUCCCUGGCCCCACGACGCUGCAAGCAGCCUGUGGAGUGGGAGGAGCAUGAGCCCACGCCUGCGAUGUCCCCGAAGUUUUCCAGUAGUCCACCAUGGGCUUGUGGUGCUUUCGCAAUGUGAAGAAAACAAGAGACAAACACAUGGCAUCUGCAGUACUUCCGAAGGCCGUGUGUGGGCAGCUUUGGGCCCCGUUCGCUCUGGGGCCUCUCUGUGGGUCAGAGCGGGGGCCUGGGUGUUGCGGUCCAGCCCGGACCAUGACUGGAUUACAUGUGGGCACUUGCCAGCAAACGCCGAGUUCACGUCUCCGAAAAGUGUGCUGUGAGGUAGCUCCUUCAGCCUGGUCAGCCACGUGGCUGCAAGGCCAGAAUCCUUCCAAACAGCGCGGGAAGCCCCAAACGCCAACCUGGAUGCCAGCCUCUCGGUAGAGAGCUUGCCCGCAUCGCUCUCUGGGUGAACCUUCCAAUUUGUUCACACUGCUCAGUCUACAAGCUCUGCCGUCAAGGGAGAGCCUUCUCCGUGUCAUCAAGGAAGUCGGGGUACGGACCCCCUAGGGUGUGGUCGCCAUGACUGGAGAAGUGCCGUUUGUCACAGUAAUAAACUGCUCAAGAUGGCAGUGACUCACUCGGGCUGUAAGGAAGCAAACAGCCGUGUGCUGUAGGAAGUGGCAUUCUGACAGCCGGGCCUCUGGACCCCACCGGCCGCCAUCAGGGAGCCCUGGGCCCCACGUCCCACCCAGGGGCCGCACACGCAGCCUCCUGCCUUAAAGUGACCGACAAUGACUGAGGCCGGCUGCGUUUCCAACGCGUCACAUGUGCUUGAGGAGGAAGCCCGGUGGCACAGGCAGGUCACACACUCGACGGCUCCUCAGCACUCUGGGAAAAGUUCACGCUCACGUGAGGACUCAGCGUUGUCAGGAUGGCCGUGGCCGUCGGCUGCUGAGUAAGCGAGCCGGCCCGACACGCGGCGCUGGCACAGUCACGUCCGUUCGGGGCUGAGUGGCCCAGCCUGGCGACUGUCACUCAGUCCCUGGUGUCGGGGGUCAGGCUCUAUGUGCUCACAAGAGCCACUGAUCAAUUUUCAGGUGUUUUGCCAGCGGGUUGGUAAACAGAGGCAUCAUGAAACAUUAAGUUAUAAGUUUCGUUAAAUACAUCGUGUGUAAGCCAGCCGCAAUACAUCCUCGGACCCUGUCACUUCCCAA